GAUGAACGCUGACAGAAUGCUUAACACAUGCAAGUCAACUGUGGCGGACGGGUGAGUAACGCGUAAAGAACUUGCCUCACAGUUAGGGACACCAUUUGGCAACGAAUGCUAAUACCUGAUACUGUGAGAGAGCUUUGCGUCCCAUUAGCUAGUUGGAGAGGUAACGGCUCACCAAGGCGAUGAUGGGUAGCCGGCCUGAGAGGGUGAUCGGCCACAAGGGGACGGAGAUACGGACCUUACUCCUGCGGUAGGCAGCAGUGGGGAAUAUUGGACAAUGGACCACAGUCUGAUCCAUCAAUUCUGUGUGCACGAGGAAGUUUUCGGAAUGUAAAGUGCUUUCAGUUGGGAAGCGGUACCAACAGAAGAAGUGACGGCUAAAUACGUGCCAGCAGCCGCGGUAAUUC
rnacentral:rRNA from 1 species